GACGAACGCUGGCGGCGUGCUUAACACAUGCAAGUCGAACGCUGAAGCCCAGCUUUUGUUGGGUGGAUGAGUGGCGAACGGGUGAGUAACACGUGAGUAACCUGCCUCCUUCUUUGGGAUAACGCCCGGAAACGGGUGCUAAUACUGGAUAUUCACUGGUCUUCGCAUGGGGGUUGGUGGAAAGGGUUUUUCUGGUGGGGGAUGGGCUCGCGGCCUAUCAGCUUGUUGGUGGGGUGAUGGCCUACCAAGGCUUUGACGGGUAGCCGGCCUGAGAGGGUGACCGGUCACAUGAGGACUGAGAUACGGCCCAGACUACUGCGGGGAGCAGCAGUGGGGAAUAUUGCACAAUGGGCGCAAGCCUGAUGCAGCGACGCCGCGUGAGGGAUGGAGGCCUGCGGGUUGUGAACCUCUUUCGCUCAUGGUCAAGCCGCAACAAUGGUUGUGGUGAGGGUAGUGGGUAAAGAAGCGCCGGCUAACUACGUG
rnacentral:rRNA from 1 species